ensembl:snoRNA
AUACUUUGGUAAUUCAUAAGCCUGAUGACUGGGUUUUCAUGCGCAUGUGUGAGAUGUGCUGCCCACAAAUCUUGUUACCAUGUCCGCACGUUACCCGUCUGACA